rnacentral:rRNA from 1 species
AUAAGUGGCCAUGCCACCUUAUACACGCCUGAUCUCAUCUGAUCUUUGAAGCAAAGCAGGGGUCACGUCUGGUUAAUCAUCGGAUUACCUGGGCAAACAUGCAGUGAGCUACC